UGCACAACCGCCUGAGAGUUUGAUCAUGGCUCAGGACGAACGCUGGCGGUGCGUCUUACUCAUGCAAGUCGAACGGAGUUAUUUCAGCAGAAGCUUUCGGGUGGACGCAGGGAUAACUUAGUGGCGAACGGGUGAGUAACACGUGAGGAACCUGCCCUGGAGUGGGGGACAACAGUUGGAAACGACUGCUAAUACCGCAUAAGCCCACAGCACCGCAUGGUGCAGGGGGAAAAGGAGCAAUUCGCUUCAGGAUGGCCUCGCGUCCAAUUAGGUAGAUGGUGAGGUAACGGCCCACCAUGCCGACGAUUGGUAGCCGGACUGAGAGGUUGAACGGCCACAUUGGGACUGAGACACGGCCCAUACUCCUACGGGAGGCAGCAGUGGGGAAUAUUGCACAAUGGGGGAAACCCUGAUGCAGCGACGCCGCGUGGAGGAAGAAGGUUUUCGGAUUGUAAACUCCUGUCUUCGGGGACGAUAAUGACGGUAUCCGAGGAGGAAGCCACGGUUAACUACGUGCCAGCAGCCGCGUCAAAACGUAUGUGGCAAGCGUCGUCCGGAAUUACUGGUUGUAUAUGGAGCGCAGUUUUUUUCGGCCACUUGCAGGUGAUUUUUGUGGGCUCAACUCACAAACUGCCUUCAAACUGCCGGUCUUGAGUGGUGUAGAGGUAGGCG
rnacentral:rRNA from 1 species